GGUCUUAUAGUCAAAAUGACAUUAGAUUGCAAAUCUAAAAGUGGGUUAGCCCUAAGGCUU
rnacentral:tRNA from 1 species